rnacentral:rRNA from 1 species
UACAGAGGUGGCAAGCGUUGUCCGGAAUUAUUGGGCGUAAAGAGCGUGUAGGCGGUCCGGUAAGUCAGCUGUGAAAGUCAAGGGCUCAACCCUUGAAAGCCGGUUGAUACUGUCGGGCUAGAGUCCGGAAGAGGCGAGUGGAAUUCCCGGUGUAGCGGUGAAAUGCGCAGAUAUCAGGAAGAACACCAAUGGCGAAGGCAGCUCUCUGGGACGGUACUGACGCUGAGACGCGAAAGCGUGGGGAGCGAACAGG